UUGCUAAACCCAUAUGCUAUGUUUGAUUUCAGAAGGAUGGGGUGCAUAAACAAAGUGGAUGUAUGAUUCAGUAAAGCCCUUUGGGCUUAGUGUUUGUGGCCCAACAUGACGGGAAAAAGGGUUGAGUGAAUCAGACUCACCUCAUUUCAAUUUCCAAACAUUAUGAACUUUCCUCUCUCACUCUCUCAUUCUCUCCCCUUUCCAAAAAUCGCUCCGCCGCGCCGGGGGCGACAGAGCAACCCAACUUAGCCAACAACCACCACCAUUAGCAUCAAUUUCAUCUCCUCUCUCUAGUUCUUACACUUAAAUCCCCUAAUUUCCCUUGGAUUCCCAAUUCGAACUAAAAAAUAUCAAGAACCCUAAAAAUUUUAAACGAAAAUUAAACGCACAUGGAGAGAAAUCAAAGCAAGAAACAUGGGGGCUUUGAUUACCCACGACCACCUCUACAUCGUGGGAACAAAUUUGAAGUGAAAAAACGAAGAGAUGGAGAUCCUACCUACACGACAAAGGUGUGUCCUAGGAAUUGUUGAAGGUCUCGAAGAUGAAUUUGCAGAGAAAAAUACCAGAUAAAAUCAGGUUGAUGUGAAUUUGGUAGGAUGGACAACACUUGGCUUGACACGACAUCAUGAAGGUGUGGCAUGGUGAUAGAACCCAAACAAAUGAGGAAGCACCACAUCAGCAAUUAAUUCACUCAGCAACUAGUGGGGCCAAGCCGUUAUUGGUUUAUUCUAGGAGAAAUGGCAGAUUGGGAAAUAUUGGCUAAGGUUGUUAGAGAUGAUGUGACGUGUAUCUGGGAUAGAGCAUCACAUCAUUUCUUUUCCUAGUUAUAAGGAGUCAGAGAGGGAAUUGAGGAGGAUCUUUGCAUUUUGUCUGUUAGUGCAUUGAGGAUAGAGAGUACUGACUCUCUAUUGAGGAGCCUAGCUCUUGGCAGAUCUAGGGAUUUGUAAUUCCUUAUUAUGUACCUUGUUCCUUUAUACGUUCAUAUAAUAAAGCUCUUUCUCUUAAA